CAAAUAUUAUCUCAGCUCCAAUGUGACAAUGGCGAGCGCUAGCGAGACAGAGAGAAGCAAAUUUGAAGAGGCACCGACCUCUUUCAAAUCAGCUGUGUGGGAACAUUUUGAAUUCAGCGUUCAAUACGAUGACGAGGAGACAGAAACCAGGUCUACUCAAGUCAUGCUGCCAUUUUUCUGAAUGGAACGUUUUUUGUUGUUGUUGUCUAUAGGCAAAAUAAAGAGUUCAUUGUUUAAAGGA